UUAACGAAUCCUGCCUUUUGUUGCCACGACAAAGGCUUAAUCCUACCAGAUAAUAAAGCAGAAGCUGCAAUUGCUUUUAUUUUUCUCCUCUUCGACUCUAGCUCCAACCGUCUACUUCCUGAUGCAGAACCUGAUGACUCUGGAAAUAUGGAGGAAGCCUUGAUCGCUGCCCGCUUGUCCUUCCUGUUCCUCUCAAAUUUUGAGGCAAAUCCGAUGCCAGCUGCACUCGCUGCAUCUUCUUGCGAUAGAGGAAGAAGCCGUAUGCCAAGGCCCAUCCUUCUUGAAACCUCUUCUUCUUCUGCGACCUUCCUCUUUUGGUUCUGAAGUUAAGAGCACGAUAGAUGACAAGUUUACAACUCGUCAAAAUAAAAUCAAAAAACUUAUAUAUAUAUAUAUAUAUAUAUAUAUAUAUACAUAUAUAUAUAUAUAUAUGUAUAUAUAUAUAUACAUAUACAUAUAUAUAUAUAAGGAGAUGAUGACUCACUCUAAGACGGCCACGGAGGGAUCUGUUAAGGCUAUAAUCAUCAGCAUGCCUGCUGUCCGAGACUCUCUGAAGGCGGACUAGCAAUGGUUCUGCUUCUUUCUUCUUCCGCAGAUCUUCUUCUUGAUGUUCAAGACGAUAAAAGGGAUCAGCAAGCUUGCCUCUUUCUGCGACAUGGUCUUUCAAUGAGAUAGGAAUCAAGAAAAUAAAUAAGACAACCUCUUUUUUCCCCCAAGACUAUGCUUAGCAAGUGAAAGAUGAAAAAAGAAUAAAAGAAAGGCACAUAACA
rnacentral:lncRNA from 1 species